UGUACAUUAUCUUAGGACCUUUAUUACAAACAAAACAGGUGAUAGAAAGAUCAUAUUAUUUUGUCUAUAUAAUACAACUAGGAUAAAAAAUAAGAUUUGAGUAUGAGAUUUUUUUUUUUUUUUUUCUUAAUGACUCGAGACUCUACUUGGACUCGUGACAAAAGACUCCAGGCUUGACUCAGACUCCAGAUAAAAGACUUGUAACCAUCUCUGCUCCGUAAUUUUAGCCUAAAUGACGUCAUGUUCUUGUUCUGUGGCAGAUGCGACAAUCAUGUUAUCAGCAACCUUCUAUGUCACCGAACACUUCAUUAUUGUACUGCUGGAAAACUUCACUAGCAGACUUGACACCAACUGGCAGACGUUUGAAUCUGUAUCUACCACAUGGUGUGUUGAAUGUGCAUAGCAGGGAGGAGUCUGCGUCAAGUUUGAUUUGCCAAUAGCCAUCCAUUUCAUCGAAGAUGGAGAAAUUUUUUUUUUUCCAGCAAGCUUACACAGUACAUCUUCGAUUGUUGGGAUUGAGAAGUGUUGGCGAAGAGCAGCUUUAUUUAGGUCACGAGGAUCCAGGCAUACUCGUAAUGACCCAUUCUUUUUUUCAGUGAUGACAAGGCUGUUAACCCAUGGAGUGGGCUGGGUGACUGGUGUUAUAACAUCUGCUUGCAACAGCUGAUCCAGUGUGUCCUUCAGUUUGCCCAGCACUGCUAAGGGAAUCUUUCUACAGCCAUGUAUGACCAGGAUUGCUUUCGGAUCGACAUGUUUAUGAUGUUCACCCGGAAACUGACAGAGUCCUUCAAAAACUGUUGGAUUUUGUGCUAUCAGCUCCUUUUUGGAGACAUGCACAUUAAGGCGAAAUGAUUAUGACAUGUAGCUCCAAAGGCUGGACACUGUCAUGGAAGGUGACUAGAGAGUACAUCAGUUUUAGUUUGGAUCCAGCCUCUUAAGAAGACCUCAGAUGACCAACACUUUUGAAGAGACCGCGCCAACUCCUGCGAGGACUUCAGAAGAUGCAACAUCUGGAUCAACACGCACAUUCGCAAAUUUCUAUAUAUCCUAAUUAUUGUUAAUAUGUAAUUCAUUUUUCCAGGAGCUCUUUGCUUCUACCUUCAAUUAAAUUGCUAACAGUGAUUGUAAAUUAAUUGCCUAAAUUAUUACAUUAUUAGCUAACUGCAUUCUCCAAAUUGUAAUGUUGACAUGCAUUCUCUGUAAAGCUGCUUUGAAACGAUAUGUACUGUGAAAAGCGCUAUACAAAUAAAUGUGAAUUGAAUUGAAUUGAAUUGAAAAUAAGACUCUGGUCUGAUGAGACCAAGAUAUAACUUUUUGGCCUUAAUUCUAAGCGGUAUGUGUGGAGAAAACCAGGCACUGCUCAUCACCUGUCCAAUACAGUCCCAAAAGUGAAGCAUGGUGGUGGCAGCAUCAUGCUGUGGGGGUGUUUUUCAGCUGCAGGGACAGGAUGACUGGUUGCAAUCGAGGGACAGAUGAAUGUGGCCAAGUACAGGGAUAUCCUGGAC